UUUGCAUAGCUUGACUUCAGAAUUGCUAAUGCGGUGAGCUUUUCUGACAUACCUGUGUAGGGAGGACUAAGCUUUUAUUCUAUCUUCUUAGGUUCUGUUUCUGAGUUCUGUAAGUGAAACUGACAGA